rnacentral:tRNA from 1 species
AGCACGGUGGCCGAGUGGUUAAGGCGUUAGACUUAAGAUCUAAUGGACGUAUGUCCGCGUGGGUUCGAACCCCACCCGUGCUA